ensembl:lncRNA
AGCAAAUGACACAAAGCACACAGAUCUGCAGCAGACCCAGUUCCACACUUGAGUGAAAACAAAGGAGGAGAAAUAUCAUCAGACCCAGUUCCAGUCCCACCAUGUUCCCAGGGCUGCAGUGUCCCACUGGCUGCUUCCCAGGGAAAGGACCCACAUCCCCAAGGCACGGCCACAGCAAACAAAACCAGGCAGUGAGGAAGGGGGAUAUGUCCCCUUGUGCCAGCUCCACUGCUCCGUGGUGGAGGUGAGACAAUCCACACCCCUGGAAAAAGGUUCGUAUGGACCAAUACACCAGAAACUAAAGAAAUGCAUGUGUUGUUUCCACACAGAAACUGCACUUCAAUUAUCCAUGUGUAAAAACACAGACAGUGCUUCAAAGGAGUGUUUUAUUGCUAAGCAAACACUAGUCAGGUUUUCAGCUGCUACUGACACCAGGCCAAACACAUCCCUCAGCAAAUAUAUGCUUACAUCCCCACGUGUAUGUUAGACCUAUACUUAACAGGGAGGAAAAGCCUGAUAGCUGUUCCCUGCCACACACACUGCACAUUGUCAUGGCAAGCCACACUGCAGCACUACAGUCCACAUCUGAAGAAGCAUCAUAACAUUUAGCCAUAAGCAUGUGGGAAGACAGUUGCAGCAGAAGCGUCCGUCAUGCUGAAUGCACCAGAGGACAUUAAACCUGCAUGAAUUUUGUGUGUUACUUAUAAAUACUGAACGCUCCUUUUACGGACUUUGACCCUGACAACUGAAUCUAUGAUGAAUGUUUUAAAUAACAUCCCAUUUAAUGCUCUCACAGACAUGGGACUCCAUCAUUUCUCAUUCAUAUAAUGGACACUGAAGAGAUGUGCUUAUAUUAAGAGGUGUUCAGAAGCCUCAGCAUUGCCUAAGAAUACUACUUUGCUUCUUAGAAGUAACAUGAACCAGCCAUAACAGGUGGCCAGGUACUGUACUCACCAAGCCUGAAGACCACAAUGGAGCCCUGAAUUUGUUGCAUCCUUCUUUCCUUUACGUUCCUUCAUGAACUUCUCAUUUGCCACGGGAUAAUAAAUAACAUACUGUCAUGGACCAACAGUUCAGUGCCUGGAUGCUUUAAAGAACUGUAAUGUUCCUUCUAGCCUUCCCUUCAGUCAUCCAUGGCUUCUACUUAGUAUGGCUGGACCACUAAGAUAAAGGCCAAUACAGUGGGCUGUAUUACUGUCUAGGUGCUCCUCUCUGAGCCGAAAUAGUCAUAUUCCUCCCCCCCCCAUUCCGUAUUGCUCUCAUGUUAUUGGCACUGGAGGCAUUAGCUUUGUAGUCACAAUUACAUGAGAACUAAGUAAACUGCAGAAAUUUGU